GCAGCCCCUGCACAAGGAUGACACACAAAUUCGUGAAGCGUUCCAUAUUUUU
rnacentral:snRNA from 1 species